CACGUAGGGCGCAAGCGUUUGUCCGGAAUUAUUGGGCGUAAAGAGCUCGUAGGCGGUCUGUUGCGUCCGCUGUGAAAACUCGGGGCUUAACCCCGAGCCUGCAGUGGAUACGGGCAGACUAGAGGUAGGUAGGGGAGAAUGGAAUUCCCGGUGUAGCGGUGAAAUGCGCAGAUAUCGGGAGGAACACCGGUGGCGAAGGCGGUUCUCUGGGCCUUACCUGACGCUGAGGAGCGAAAAGCGUGGGGGAGCAAACAGG
rnacentral:rRNA from 1 species